GUAAUUUCCGGUACAGGGGAAGGCGUUGAUGAAAUGAAAGGGCUUCUAGUGUUGCUAGGGUGGGGUGGCGGCGGUUCACCAGAGUUGAUGAUGUUGUGGUGGCGGUGGUUUAGAGGAUUUGGUGUUAGGGUUUGCAAAGGUGGAAGACGAGGGCAAUUAAGAAUAUAGGUAGUGUACUGGGAAGGGAACAAAGCAAAUUAGUGUGGUUUGCAUUGUGUAGGUAGGGUGCACUGACACUCUUUAGGUUUGCAUUUUGAAGCUCCCCAAAUUAUGUCACUAAUUGCCUCUUUCUUCUCUUUUUAAUCCCUCUCCCUCUCCCUCUCCCUCUCCUUUCAUAUCCAUUUUUUCGUUUUUCAUAGUGGGAGCGGAGGGCUUCCACGUAGAGGGAACACUGCCAUGUUGAGGGACACCGUGGGCAGUGACGUCCAUGGAGAAGGCUGGCCCUGAGGGAUCUGGUAAGUGGAGUCCAGGGGCACCCGAUUCUAGGUGGAGGUGGAGAGAGAAGUAUUGUAUGUUUGACUGCCUGAGAGAAGUAUUGUUACUUGGCCUGCAUUGCUAUCUGGGUAUACUCAAAAUGCGUGUUCCGAGGAAGCACUUUAAGUUUUUUUAGCAAUGCAUAGAGUAGGUGUUAAGACGAAUCAUUUCACAGCGGAAGUAUGAUCUGUUUGGCUAAAGGGGAGCAAAUUCAGUGGUGCAUUCAGAUGAAUAGGCUUGUUAAGAACUUGUUUGUACAGAGUUCACUUGAUAUGUAUGGAGGAUGCAUGCUCCAUUUUCGAGCCAAUGGCCGAAAGGGACGUGGUUUCUUGAAAUGCGAUGAUCGGGGAAGUAUGUUAAUAUAUAAAAAGUCUUGUAAAAUAUUAAUAAUAAUUUGGGCUUAAACAUUUUAGUCAAGUGGUUAAGGCUAUCAAAUUAUUCAGUUGGCACUCCACUUGAGUUGUUACUAGGGCUACUCACGGAUCGGACGGAUCGGGUUCCACCAUAAUCCGUCCACCACCCGAUCACAUUCGGGUUGGGAAUCGCAAGAUUCGAUUCCGACUGAACUAUUGAUCAAACCGCCCGUCACAGAUUAGCGGGUUGCGGUCGGGUUUGUCAGGUUGAUCGGAUUGUCUUCCAAACUCACCCAGAUUCUUGGCCUCCCUUCCAUUCUCUCUCUAGCCGAUUGGAUUCAAUGAUGAUUGAGUUUGUGGAACAAGUGCAAGUAAUUGCUGAUCAACUGGAAGCUCAUCUUCGGGGAAGAAAUUGUUGGAUCCAGCCCAUAAAACCUCAAAGCCCAUGAAGCCCAAUGAUACCCAAGCCCAUAACCCAUUCUUCUAGGAUAAGAAUGAAAUGGGAAAAGAAAUAGAGACAGAGAAGAGAAAGAUGGAAAGAAAGGACGAAGAGGCUCUACAGUUCUGUCAGAGGAGGCGCCGAAAGAGCCGAAAGAAAGAGACGCUCCCUCCCUCCUCCAUGGGCAACAAUGGAGGCAUGAAUGAGCUCAGCCAUGAGUUCAUCCUUCUCUGCUCUGUGGCCUAUAAAUAGAGAUGGUUGUGGGAGAAAUAGAACGGGGGCAGUGUAGAGAAAUUCUGUAAAGAGUACAGAGAGGCUGUGAGAGAAGAGAGCAAGACUGACAGAUUGAGAGAGUAGAUGAUUGAGUGAGUUGAGUGUGAUCUCCUCCUUUGUAUUCAUUGUAAUUCAUUCUGAGACAGUCAGAUACUUUCCGUGGACGUAGGCAUUGUUGGCCGAACCACGUAAAUCUUGUCUUGUGUUUGUGGUUUCUGUUGGCAGAGUGACUGGUAACUCUUUUUGGACACAACAGAAAUCCCCAUCUUUAUUUGAAAAUUCUGGCCUAAAAAACUCAAAUUUGCUGCGGGUUUUCACCAGGUCUCUCUCUGCUAGUGAAAUGGAGCUUUCAGGAUCAUAUUUGUGUGAUUACUCAGGGCUCAAACCUGAUGAAGACCCAUAUAUAGAACUAGUAAUUGCCCGUGCCCAUGAGCACUACGCAAAAAAAAAUAAAAAUUUAUUUUUAUUAAUUUUGAUAGUUUUUCAUCGUAGAAGAACAAAUAAAAAUAAAAGUAAAAAAUAAUCACAAAAAGUAGCUCUUAGUUACUUUUUCAGAAAACUAACUAAUCUAAUCUAAAACUAACAUAAAAGAGUUGUUUUUUUCAACCCACCCCCUCGAUUCUUUUGUUUCUUUUUCUUUUAAUACCCCUUGAUUCUUUUGUUUUUUCCUUUUACUUUCACUUCUGAAUUUUUAUAUAAAAAAAAUUAUGAUAAGAUUUUAUAAUAUCUUUUACAUAUGAAUCAAGAUUUUUAAUAUUUUUUUGUUAAUUUCGGUGGGUGAUAGUUAUAUGUUAUUUGAGUCUUUUUUUAUACCCCUUUAUUUAUUAUUUUUUACUUUUAUUCUGACUUUUUAUAUAAAAAAUAAUUAAAAAUAUAUAUAUAAUUUCCUGUGAGGAGAUAUUGAUGUAGAAGUUAUGGUCUUAUGGAAUAUUGAAUUUAUUACUGUAUUGAUACGUUAAAA
rnacentral:lncRNA from 1 species